rnacentral:rRNA from 1 species
UGGGGAAUAUUGGACAAUGGGCGAAAGCCUGAUCCAGCCAUGCCGCGUGUAUGAAGAAGGCCUUCGGGUUGUAAAGUACUUUCAGCGAGGAGGAAGGCGGUAAGGUUAAUAACCUUAUCGAUUGACGUUACUCGCAGAAGAAGCACCGGCUAACUCCGUGCCAGCAGCCGCGGUAAUACGGAGGGUGCAAGCGUUAAUCGGAAUUACUGGGCGUAAAGCGCACGCAGGCGGUCUGUCAAGUCGGAUGUGAAAUCCCCGGGCUCAACCUGGGAACUGCAUUCGAAACUGGCAGGCUAGAGUCUUGUAGAGGGGGGUAGAAUUCCAGGUGUAGCGGUGAAAUGCGUAGAGAUCUGGAGGAAUACCGGUGGCGAAGGCGGCCCCCUGGACAAAGACUGACGCUCAGGUGCGAAAGCGUGGGGAGCAAACA